rnacentral:sRNA from 1 species
UUUGGUAUAACGACUCGUGGUUUGGUACCCUUCAGACGCAUUAUAUCAGACAACGGCGGUAAUUCAACAAUUAUUAAAAACCAAAAAAAAA